rnacentral:tRNA from 3 species
GUAGAUGUAGCUCAGUUGGUUAGAGCAUCUGACUGUUAAUCAGAAUGUCGCAGGUUCGAGACCUGUCAUCUACG